rnacentral:rRNA from 1 species
AGCGAACGCUGGCGGCAGGCCUAACACAUACAAGUCGAACGAACUCUUCGGAGUUAGUGGCGGACGGGUGAGUAACACGUGGGAACGUGCCUUUAGGUUCGGAAUAACUCAUGGAAACUUGUGCUAAUACCGAAUGUGCCCUUCGGGGGAAAGAUUUAUCGCCUUUAGAGCGGCCCGCGUCUGAUUAGCUAGUUGGUGAGGUAAAGGCUCACCAAGGCGACGAUCAGUAGCUGGUCUGAGAGGAUGAUCAGCCACAUUGGGACUGAGACACGGCCCAAACUCCUACGGGAGGCAGCAGUGGGGAAUCCUGCGCAAUGGGCGAAAGCCUGACGCAGCUAUGCCGCGUGAAUGAUGAAGGUCUUAGGAUUGUAAAAUUCUUUCACCGGGGACGAUAAUGACGGUACCCGGAGAAGAAGCCCCGGCUAACUUCGUGCCAGCCGCCGCUGUAA